ACUCCUACGGGAGGCAGCAGUAGGGAAUCUUCCACAAUGGGCGCAAGCCUGAUGGAGCAACGCCGCGUGUGUGAUGAAGGGUUUCGGCUCGUAAAACACUGUUAUAAGAGAAGAACGGCACUGAGAGUAACUGUUCAGUGUGUGACGGUAUCUUACCAGAAAGGAACGGCUAA
rnacentral:rRNA from 1 species